rnacentral:rRNA from 1 species
GACGAACGCUGGCGGCGUGCUUAACACAUGCAAGUCGAACGAGACCUUCGGGUCUAGUGGCGCACGGGUGCGUAACGCGUGGGAAUCUGCCCUUGGGUUCGGAAUAACUUCGGGAAACUGAAGCUAAUACCGGAUGAUGACGUAAGUCCAAAGAUUUAUCGCCCAAGGAUGAGCCCGCGUAGGAUUAGCUAGUUGGUGAGGUAAAAGCUCACCAAGGCGACGAUCCUUAGCUGGUCUGAGAGGAUGAUCAGCCACACUGGGACUGAGACACGGCCCAGACUCCUACGGGAGGCAGCAGUGGGGAA